rnacentral:rRNA from 1 species
UUGGGGGAAACAGGUCAAUAUUCCUGUACCGAUUCUAGAUGCGAUGUGGGGACGGAGAAGGUUAGGUCAGCCGGGUGUUGGACGUCCCGGUUUAAGCGUGUAGGCGUGCCCCUUAGGCAAAUCCGGGGGGCUGAGCUGAGGCGUGAUGACGAGGAACCACGGUUCCGAAGUGAUUGAUACCAAGCUUCCAGGAAAAGCCACUAAGCUUCAGUCUAGAGUUGACCGUACCGCAAACCGACACAGGUGGGCAGGAUGAAAAUUCUAAGGCGCUUGAGAGAACUCAGGAGAAGGAACUCGGCAAAUUAACACCGUAACUUCGGGAGAAGGUGUGCCCCGGUAGCGUGUAGAGACUUGCUCUCGAAGCGCGAUGGGGUUGCAGUGAAAUGGUGGCUGCGACUGUUUAAUAAAAACACAGCACUCUGCAAACACGAGAGUGGACGUAUAGGGUGUGACGCCUGCCCGGUGCCGGAAGGUUAAGUGAUGGGGUGCAAGCUCUUGAUCGAAGCCCCGGUAAACGGCGGCCGUAACAAUAACGGUCCUAAGGUAGCGAAAUUCCUUGUCGGGUAAGUUCCGACCUGCACGAAUGGCGUAACGAUGGCCACACUGUCUCCUCCUGGGACUCAGCGAAGUUGAAAUGUUUGUGAAGAUGCAAUCUACCCGCGGCUAGACGGAAAGACCCCAUGAACCUUUACUGUAGCUUUGCAUUGGACUUUGAACCGGUUUGUGUAGGAUAGGUGGGAGACUGUGAAGCCGGGACGCUAGUUUCGGUGGAGUCAACCUUGAAAUACCACCCUGAUUUGUUUGAGGUUCUAACCUUGGUCCGUGAAUCCGGAUCGGGGACCGUGCAUGGUAGGCAGUUUGACUGGGGCGGUCUCCUCCCAAAAGGUAACGGAGGAGUACGAAGGUACGCUUAGGGCGGUCGGACAUCGCCCACAAAGUGCAAUGGCAAAAGCGUGCUUGACUGCGAGACCCACAAGUCGAGCAGGUACGAAAGUAGGUCAUAGUGAUCCGGUGGUUCUGUAUGGAAGGGCCAUCGCUCAACGGAUAAAAGGUACUCUGGGGAUAACAGGCUAAUUCCUCCCAAGAGUUCAUAUCGACGGGGGAGUUUGGCACCUCGAUGUCGGCUCAUCACAUCCUGGGGCUGUAGUCGGUCCCAAGGGUAUGGCUGUUCGCCAUUUAAAGUGGUACGCGAGCUGGGUUUAAAACGUCGUGAGACAGUUUGGUCCCUAUCUGCCGUGGGCGCUGGAAAUUUGAAGGGGGCUGCUCCUAGUACGAGAGGACCGGAGUGGACGAACCUCUGGUGUACCGGUUAUGACGCCAGUCGUAUCGCCGGGUAGCUAAGUUCGGAAGAGAUAAACGCUGAAAGCAUCUAAGCGUGAAACUCGCCUUAAGAUAAGAUUUCCCGGAGUCUUGAACUCCCUGAAGGGUCGUCGAAGACCACGACGUUGAUAGGUCAGGUGUGGAAGCGCAGCAAUGCGUUAAGCUAACUGAUACUAAU